rnacentral:rRNA from 1 species
UACGUAGGGUGCGAGCGUUAAUCGGCAUUACUGGGCGUAAAGCGUGCGCAGGCGGUUCGUUGUGUCGGCGGUGAAAGCCCCGGGCUUAACCUGGGAAUGGCCGUCGAAACUGGCGAACUGGAGUGUGGCAGAGGGGGGUGGAAUUCCGCGUGUAGCAGUGAAAUGCGUAGAUAUGUGGAGGAACACCGAUGGCGAAGGCAGCCCCCUGGGUCAAGACUGACGCUCAUGCACGAAAGCGUGGGGAGCAAACAGG